CUUCUUAACAAACUUCAGACUGCCUGGGCCCUUAUAGGAGAACUGAAACGGACAGCAGUCAUGGCCCUGAAACAGAGGGUUUAGACAUUAGGUAUGCAGAGUAUGUAUGCUAGAAACAUAGAGUGUUUAGACAUUAGGUAUGCAGAGUAUGUAUGCUAGAAACAUAGAGUGUUUAGACAUUAGGUAUGCAGAGUAUGUAUGCUAGAAACAUAGAGUGUUUAGACAUUAGGUAUGCAGAGUAUGUAUGCUAGAAACAUAGAGUGUUUAGACAUUAGGUAUGCAGAGUAUGUAUGCUAGAAACAUAGAGUGUUUAGACAUUAGGUAUGCAGAGUAUGUAUGCUAGAAACAUAGAGUGUUUAGACAUUAGGUAUGCAGAGUAUGUAUGCUAGAAACAUAGAGUGUUUAGACAUUAGGUAUGCAGGGUAUGUAUGAUAGGAACAUAGAGGGUUUAGACAUUAGGUAUGCAGGGUAUGUAUGAUAGGAACAUAGAGGGUUUAGACAUUAGGUAUGUAUGAUAGGAACAUAGAGGGUUUAGACAUUAGGUAUGCAGGGUAUGUAUGAUAGGAACAUAGAGGGUUUAGACAUUAGGUAUGUAUGAUAGGAACAUAGAGGGUUUAGACAUUAGGUAUGCAGGGUAUGUAUGAUAGGAACAUAGAGGGUUUAGACAUUAGGUAUGUAUGAUAGGAACAUAGAGGGUUUAGACAUUAGGUAUGCAGGGUAUGUAUGAUAGGAACAUAGAAGGUUUAGGCAUUAGGUAUGCAGGGUUUGUAUGAUCGGAACAUAGAAGGUUUAGACAUUAGGUAUGCAGGGUAUGUAGGGUAUGUAUGAUAGGAACAUAGAAGGUUUAGGCAUUAGGAACAUAGAACAUAGGAACAUAGUAUGCAGGGUAUGUAUGAUAUUGAGUCCCAAAUUGAACCCUAUUGCCUUUAUAUAAUGCACUGCUUUUGACCAGGACCGAUAGGAGCAAACUGUAGAAUACCAGGCGACAAGGGAUCCUGUACAGCCUAUAUAUAGGGGACAGUGUUCCAUCUGGGACAGUGUAUCACUGAACUCAUUGAACUCCCACAGGUGGAAGUGGUUCGGUGAACUGGGCUCACAAGUUGAGUAACCUUGCUAUGGUUCUGGUCGGUCACAAAUGAAGAGAGUGAUGAGAGGUGUGUUU